rnacentral:rRNA from 1 species
AUGCACCCAGUGCGUGUCAAUGGAUUUGUUUGCAAGAACCCGAUGGAGGUCAACGCCGAUGACUUCUUCAAGGCAGCCGCCCUCGAUAAGCCUAGGGUGACCAACAAGGUUGGAUCCAACGUCACCUUGAUCAAUGUCAUGCAGAUUGCUGGACUCAACACCCUCGGCAUCUCAAUCGCACGCAUCGACUAUGCUCCCUUAGGCCAGAACCCUCCACACACGCACCCCCGUGCCACUGAGAUCCUCACGGUGCUCGAGGGAACAUUGUACGUUGGCUUUGUCACAUCCAACCUGCCCGCCCCAGCCAGAAACAAGUUCUUCUCAAAGGUGCUCAACAAAGGUGAUGUGUUUGUCUUCCCCGUGGGGCUCAUCCACUUCCAAUUCAACCCUAACCCCCACCAG